rnacentral:rRNA from 1 species
UGCCAGACUCCUACGGGAGGCAGCAGUGGGGAAUCUUGCGCAAUGGGCGGAAGCCUGACGCAGCGACGCCGCGUGCGGGACGAAGGCCUUCGGGUCGUAAACCGCUUUCAGCAGGGACGAGGCCCUCACGGUGACGGUACCUGCAGAAGAAGCCCCGGCUAACUACGUGCCAGCAGCCGCGGUAAUACGGAGGAUGCGAGCGUUAUCCGGAUUCAUUGGGUUUAAAGGGUGCGCAGGCGGGCCUUUAAGCGGGGGGUGAACCCGGGGGGCUCACCCCCGCCGAGCCGUCGGAACUGGGGGCCUUGAGUGCGGCGGAGGCAUGCGGAAUGCGCGGUGUAGCGGUGAAAUGCAUAGAUAUCGCGCAGAACCCCGAUUGCGAAGGCAGCGUGCCGUGCCGCCACUGACGCUGAGGCACGAAAGCGCGGGGAUCGAACAGGAUUAGAUACCCUCGUACG